UAUUCUUUACUGCAUUUCGGUUCUCACAAUGAAGAACACAACAAAAUACGAUGCUUGCUAUAAAUUGCAUAAUCUCAUGAACUAUGAAGUUUUUUAAUGUAAGUUGUGUACAGAGGCAUUAUGUCGUGGCAUGUCCACCUAGAUAUCA
rnacentral:rRNA from 1 species